UCGCCCUGUUUCUAGAACUUGCCUGACUCUGGUCUCCGGCUGCCAGGGGAUCCUGUACCCCAGCAGCACCAAGGCCUCUUCCUCGGAGGCACGGUGACUUUAGGAGCCUUCGCCUUGUCCUGUCAACAAGAAGGACCUACCAGCAGUGUACCUUUUGGGGCUGUGUGAGCGUGGAUCCUAAAAUCACUUCCCCCUCCCUCCCACCUCCUCUCCUGCCCCGACACGCAGGCUCCCACCGAGAAGUCAUGUGAACCCUUCUCAGAUUGAGCCCAAGAAUGAGCCAGUGGCCCAGCUCUGCCCUGUGACACGCAUAGCCUCCAGCGGUCACAUGGCCUCCAGCUGCCACCACCCGCCCUCUGUCCCCAGCCUGGUGCCCUCUCCCUGGCAGGCUUCCCUCGUCCCUCCAGGCUGGAAGCUUGGCAGACAGCGGGGCCCAGGCACGGAGGUUUCAGGGCCGACAGGCUUGGACGGCUCCGGUCCUUGCUGACCUUAAGGUGGGACCCCCUCCGGGAGUCUCCCCGACACCACGUGGCGUGCCCCACCGAGAAGUAGGCGUCCUGCUGGAUGCAGCAGUGGACAGAGCUGUUGACAGCUGGCUCCUGCAGCCAGCCCCAGCCAGAGCCCCCGUGAACGGGGAGCUUGGGCCACCCGAAACAAGGUGCCGGAACAAGGCCGCGCAAGCAGCCAAGAGCACCAUUCAGCUGCGCACCUCGUGGAGAGGCUAGAAGCCAGGUGUUAGGAGCCAGGCCUCAGAAGGAGGGAAGAAGGCAAAUACCGGCAGGGCCAUGUGUAUACAGACUCGAAAAGAAACAAACAAAUAAGAAAACAACUGUAGAGCGGUGGUUCUCAAUAGAGAGCAAUUUGCCACCCCGGGGCCAGAGAGGCUGUCUCUGAACAUCCUACGAGCAGGCACCGAGAUCAAAGCCUUUUCCAACCCCACCUGUCAAGAGUGCCUCAGAUAAAAACCCUGCCAUAGAGAGAAACCACCCCUCCCAGGGAGGAUUUGAGCAGGGCCUCCAAAGGAAGCCUCUGCCCCACGGGAGCAAGUUGUGACUGUCACUCUCAGGCUUACAGUCCUUCAGCACCUGCCCAGUUCCCACAGAUUUGGACCCAAACCUCUUGGCACACAUGGCAAGCCUUCCUUCCCUGAUCCGGCCCUGGUUCACCCUUUAACCUCACCUCCUGCUGGCUCUCGAGGACGUCCUGUGUCUGAAAUGCUGUCUUGAGACUUCCAUCUGAAAAGUACUCAUCCAUCCUUCUGGGUCCAGCGGAGCCAUUUCCUCAUCUGAGACCCACCCCCCAUUGCUACCCUGCACCCCCCCACCCCACUGUCCCUGGGGCGACACAGGACACCUCUACCAUAAAGCACCACACAGGACAGGUGCUGGUACAGUAGGCCUGUGAGUCUGUUUCUCCCACCAGACUGUGAGUUCCCUUGAUGGCAGGUCUGUCUCCCUGGGGCCUGGGGAGGCCUUGAACAAUGGGACCCCCCUCUCUCCUAGAUCUUAGGUGGGUGGGCAGUUCCAGCCUAUUGUCCCUCAAUGGCAGUAGAUACAUGGGGAGCUGGAGAACAUGCAGAAGCCAGUUGGGCCAUCAAAAGCAGCUGGGAAGCAGGGACAUGAAAUGAAGCCUAAGGGGCCAGCCGAACAAGGUCUGGGAACAAAGUCACGGAGGAGCAGUCGGCCUGAGAGACUGAAAUGGAAAUGGUCUGUGCCGAUUCCAGAGGUCGGGGCUGUAAGCUCCCAGCACUUCCCCCAGGAUGGGCCAAGGGCACCCAGGACUGGGAUUGCUACCAACUGCUUGGCAGGGGCAUGGUAUAUGGAUGAGGAAGUUUGGUCAUUCACUACUUGAAAGCAAGGUCACUUACUUUUCCUCAAAUCGGUUUCGUGGAGAAUGUGGGGCAACCGAAGACAUUCCCAUUUUAUAGAUGAGGACAUUGAGCCUCAAGGAGGUAAAAGGUCUGUCACCAAAUUGCCAAGUACUGCAUCCCUACCCUCUCUCUUUGGGCCGCACCAUUUUGAGUCAGCCAAGACAAGAUCAAUCAGCCCAUUCCUUCACCAUUGGUUUGAUUUCCAUGGACAAUCCCAAAAGCCAAUUUAAAAGAGCAUUUCUCCAAGCCACGUCUUGUGUGUUCAGUUCUCCAUAGAAUUUGUUUUUGUUCUUUGCAGCUUUGAGAUAUAAUUGACCUACAAUAAACGGCAUGUAUUUAAAACA